GCGCUCCAGCGUGGGGCCAGAGACCCCCUCUCUGGGUGGCAGAUAUGUGGCUCACGCCUGCUGCUUGCAAGUGGAGUCACCGCAGUGACAGAGAAAUCCAGAUUGUGGCUGUUAUCAAGGGUGAGAGGAGCCACAUCUGAAACAACUUGCCCCCUGGUGGUGUCCAGUCACUUCCCAGAGGUCUACCUUGCUGAAAAUUUGAUGUCCACGUUUCUCUAUUUGAUUUCUUCGCUGGGCUCAUCAAGGAAGGUGGAGGCUGUGCACAGCUCGCUCUUUGGGUGGUGGUGCUGUUCGGGAAGGACAUGGACCUUUGGUGUUGACAUAGAGCAUCACUGUAGGGCCUGGUCUCUUGUUUAGCCCCAGAGACUCUGCGUCUUCAUCCACCAAGACGCCAUGAAUGCUGUCCUGCCUUCUCCACCAUGACCAGACCACUCCCUUAAUUUGGAGGCCCAAAGAAGUCCUUCCUUCCUGAAGUUGCUUCUGGUCACAAGAACAGUUGGUUGCUGGGAGCUGGUGACAGUGUUUUUGUUGCUGAUGCUGAGGAAUCGAAACCAAGGCCCUGGCGCACUCAGCCAUUGCUGGAGUUCAUUAGCCACAGAGAGACACUAAGUGGCUGUAAGGAUCAGGGCAGCUUGGCAGCCAUGUGACGGGCAGCCUUAUAAGUCCCAGGUACCAGUGUCGUUUAUACGACAUCAAGUGUGCUUUAAGCUGCACACUCCCAGGACUCAUUAGAACUGUGUGCCCAGUGGUGCCCCUCAACGCCUCCGAGCAAAUAGAGAAUGAUAUAAUUCUCUCUGAGAACACCUCUCUGUCUUAUCUGCAGCAUGUCUUAUCUAUUAUGAUUAGGGCAUUAAGCUCCCAUCGGCCUUAACAUUUCAUGAGAUUCUACCCCACUGCUUGCCGGGAUUAUGUCAAAGUGUCUUGUCCUGGAUGCUGUUUUCACCCAAUAAUACAGCUUGUCUCUUCUCCUUAGGCAGUGUUGGGCUACCAGCGAGGCCCAGCAAUCCAGCUUAAGGCGAGUGAGCACUUGGAAGGCUGCCCUAAACCCUCUUCCUAUAAAGCGUUUGUGUCUCGGUCUUGUUUCCCCCAAAAGAAAGGUUUGGGAAGCCAGAACUAAAGAUUUCCUUGCAAACAGCAUGGUUGAGAAACGUUGAUAGAGAGCUGUCUCCAGGAAGGGAGAAAGGAAAGAGGGAAAAAAGGGGGUUAGGGGGCUUACAAUGCAGAGGAGACAGAAAUCAGGGUCUUGGAGAAGAGCUGGAGGAACUGGGAGACAGUAUGGACCACAACUUUCCCGUAGUCCCUCUGGAGGACAGGAGUGCUGGGGUGUUUAUCAACCCAGUUGGCCAGCUGUGAUGUAGCACUGUUCCAGGUUCACCAUCCACUCGGGUACCGGCCCCGUGGUGGUUAUGCUGAUACCUACGACAUGGCAUCAUCCAUAGAGGAAUGUCUCCACCUGUGAUCCUCAAGAGGGCUGUGACAGAAUGGAGGCCAGUGACUAGAGCAAUCCUACCUGUCAGCCUUAGGCCAGGCACGUGGUGAGCCUUCAGUAAACAUCUCUGACAGUCACCUGCCUGGUUAAACUUCUGCCAUACCUAUGCUGGCUACAAUCUUGUUCAGAGUUGGCCUUUAGAAUAAAGUACUUAUUCCCUGCUUCUAAGUA